rnacentral:rRNA from 1 species
CCUACGGGGGGCAGCAGUAGGGAAUCUUCGGCAAUGGACGAAAGUCUAACCGAGCAACGCCGCGUGAGUGAAGAAGGUUUUCGGAUCGUAAAACUCUGUUGUUAGAGAAGAACAAGGAUGAGAGUAACUGUUCAUCCCUUGACGGUAUCUAACCAGAAAGCCACGGCUAACUACGUGCCAGCAGCCGCGGUAAUACGUAGGUGGCAAGCGUUGUCCGGAUUUAUUGGGCGUAAAGCGAGCGCAGGCGGUUUCUUAAGUCUGAUGUGAAAGCCCCCGGCUCAACCGGGGAGGGUCAUUGGAAACUGGGAGACUUGAGUGCAGAAGAGGAGAGUGGAAUUCCAUGUGUAGCGGUGAAAUGCGUAGAUAUAUGGAGGAACACCAGUGGCGAAGGCGGCUCUCUGGUCUGUAACUGACGCUGAGGCUCGAAAGCGUGGGGAGCAAACAGGAUUAGAUACCCUAGUAGUC